CCUACGGGAGUCAGCAGUGAGGAAUAUUGGUCAAUGGGCGCGAGCCUGAACCAGCCAAGUAGCGUGAAGGAUGACUGCCCUACGGGUUGUAAACCUCUUUUAUAAAGGAAUCAAGUGAGGCACGUGUGCCUCUUUGUAUGUACUUUAUGAAUAAGGAUCGGCUAACUCCGUGCCAGCAGCCGCGGUAAUACGGAGGAUCCGAGCGUUAUCCGGAUUUAUUGGGGUUAAAGGGCUCGUAGAUGGGUUGUGAAGUCAGUUGUGAAAGUUUGCGGCUCAACAGUAAAAUUGCAAUUGAUACUGGCAGUAUUGAGUACAGUUGAGGUAGACGGAAUUCGUGGUGUGGCGGUGAAAUGCUUAGAUAUCACG
rnacentral:rRNA from 1 species